rnacentral:rRNA from 1 species
GUGGGGAAUAUUGGGCAAUGGGGGAAACCCUGACCCAGCAACGCCGCGUGAAGGAUGAAGGUCUUCGGAUUGUAAACUUCUUUUAAGAGUGAAGAAUAUGACGGUAACUCAUGAAUAAGCACCGGCUAACUACGUGCCAGCAGCCGCGGUCAUACGUAGGGUGCAAGCAUUAUCCGGAGUGACUGGGCGUAAAGAGUUGCGUAGGCGGUUAUGUAAGCGAAUAGUGAAACCUGGUGGCUCAACCACACAGACUAUUAUUCGAACUGCAUAACUCGAGAAUGGUAGAGGUAACUGGAAUUUCUUGUGUAGGAGUGAAAUCCGUAGAUAUAAGAAGGAACACCAAUGGCGUAGGCAGGUUACUGGGCCAUUUCUGACGCUAAGGCACGAAAGCGUGGGGAGCGAACCGGAUUAGAUACCCUUGUAGUCC